ensembl:lncRNA
AUGGUUCUGAGCGCCCCAUUUGCCUCCUGGUCUCUGACUCUGGCUGAGAAGAAGUAUUCAGUUGGGGAGCCACAUGGCUAUGCUGGCAUUCCGGGUAUUCAGUUGGGGAGCGGGAGGCAUAUAUACUUGUAUGGCCGACAUUUCACCCUCCACACAGACCAUCAGGCCCUAACAACCCUACUCGCAUCUUCAGGCACGGGCCACAGGCCGAUUCGGCUCCACCGCUGGUUGAAGAGACUCCUCCAAUAUAAUUUCACUCUGCUGUUCACUCCCGGCCGGGACAAUGUUGUGGCAGACCUCCUUUCCAGGGCCACACCAGAGACUUCUCCAGGCCCAGCCAUGGAUACACUUGAGCCAGAGCUUUUCCACAUGCUUCAUGGGCCACUCUGGGAGGUUGUGUCUCUACAGGACCUCCAACUGGCUUCAGCCCAAGACUCAGUGCUGUCACAGAUUUGCACUUGCAUUCGAGAGGGGUGGCCACGCACAGUGCCCAAGGAUCUGGUGCCAUUUCAUCAGGUUAAAGAUGAGCAGUCCUGUUGGAAUGAGGUCUGUGUGGUGUGGGGACUGCGGGCAGUCAUCCCCAGCAGCCUACAACCUCGCAUCCUGGCCAUGGCUCAUGAGGGACACCUAGGCAUCGUAAAAGUCAAGCAGCACUGCCGUGACUGGGUGUGGUGGCCUGGGAUCAACAGGGAUAUUGAAUUUACGGUGAAGGACUGCUCAGCCUGCCUCGUCAGUGGAAAGACGGGCCCUCCCACACCUCCGCCACUGCAACUUGUGCAGUGGCCGGCCGGGCCAUGGCAGCACGUUCAGCUGAAUAUCUGUGGGACAUUCCAGGGGGUUCCAUAUCAUCAGCGCUUUCUAGUGGUUGCCUAUGACCUGUACUCAAAAUGGAGUUCCUUGAAUGUCUGUUCUCAAGGUGGGGCCUUCCCAACACCAUUACAACAGACAAUGGGCCUCAGUUCACCUCCAUGGACUUUCAGACAUUCCUCGGGGACAGAGGGAUUUGACACACACUCACUGCUUUCUACCACCUAG